UGCAAGUCGAGCGCAGGAAUAAACAGAACCCUUCGGGGUGAUGUUUAUGGAAUGAGCGGCGGACGGGUGAGUAACACGUGGGCAACCUGCCUGUAAGAUCGGGAUAACUCGCGGAAACGUGAGCUAAUACCGGAUAACACUUUUCAUCUCAUGGUGAGAAGAUAAAAGACGGUUUCGGCUGUCACUUACAGAUGGGCCCGCGGCGCAUUAGCUAGUUGGUGAGGUAACGGCUCACCAAGGCGACGAUGCGUAGCCGACCUGAGAGGGUGAUCGGCCACACUGGGACUGAGACACGGCCCAGACUCCUACGGGAGGCAGCAGUAGGGAAUCUUCCGCAAUGGACGAAAGUCUGACGGAGCAACGCCGCGUGAGUGAUGAAGGUUUUCGGAUCGUAAAACUCUGUUGUUAGGGAAGAACAAGUUGGGUAGUAACUGACCCAACCUUGACGGUACCUAACCAGAAAGCCACGGCUAACUACGUGCCAGCAGCCGCGGUAAUACGUAGGUGGCAAGCGUUGUCCGGAAUUAUUGGGCGUAAAGCGCUCGCAGGCGGUCUUUUAAGUCUGAUGUGAAAGCCCACGGCUUAACCGUGGAGGGUCAUUGGAAACUGGAGGACUUGAGUACAGAAGAGGAGAGUGGAAUUCCACGUGUAGCGGUGAAAUGCGUAGAGAUGUGGAGGAACACCAGUGGCGAAGGCGACUCUCUGGUCUGUAACUGACGCUGAGGAGCGAAAGCGUGGGUAGCGAACAGGAUUAGAUACCCUGGUAGUCCACGCCGUAAACGAUGAGUGCUAGGUGUUAGGGGGUUUCCGCCCCUUAGUGCUGAAGUUAACGCAUUAAGCACUCCGCCUGGGGAGUACGGCCGCAAGGCUGAAACUCAAAAGAAUUGACGGGGGCCCGCACAAGCGGUGGAGCAUGUGGUUUAAUUCGAAGCAACGCGAAGAACCUUACCAGGUCUUGACAUCCUCUGAUACCUCUAGAGAUAGAGUUUCCCUUCGGGGACAGAGUGACA
rnacentral:rRNA from 1 species